rnacentral:misc_RNA from 1 species
UGAAUUGCGAUAAGUAAUGUGAAUUGCAUCACCUGUGAAUCAUCAAAUCUUUGAACGCACCUUGCGCUUUUUGGGUCUACUGAAAAGCAUACCUGUUUGAGUAUCAGAAAGUACUCCAAAAAAAAGGGUUUGAUAAUGGUUAAACAAUAUCAACUUUUUUUAAUUGGGAAUUGAGGUCUAUUAUUAUUAACGUGUAAUAUUCCUUGAAAAUUAGGUAAUGAUGUUGGAAGUUGUUAAUGACUAAUAUCAAAGUGCGGUAAGAAAAUUAUAUUUUCUCCCACUGACAAGAUAAUAGUUGUUCUCUUUUAACAAUUAAUCAUUAAAAAUUAUACUUUUGAACUCUUGAUCUCAAAUCAGGUAGGAUCACCCGCUGAACUUAA